GCUCCUCUUGCUGACGGUAGUGAAGCGGAACGGCGUUAAAUCCGGCUGCUCUCCGGGUGGGAAGCGCUUCAUGAAGUGGACGUCCUGCUGGUUGGGAAGCGUGUUCGGACCACGGCGAGGGCGCCCUCUUUUGGUGAUACAGGAAAGAAAGAAAGUGAAAGAAGUCAGCAGUGAAGUUCACCUUGCCUACGAGUUUCCCUCUGCGGUUCAUACACAGGUAAUAAUUGGUUUCCUUCCCUCGGAUUCGCACCUGGCUGCCGAAGGUGUCUGCCUCCACUACGAGCUGGGCUUGAAGAGACAGGCAGAGAGACAGACAGACGUUACUAAAAUAUCACCAUGAGCUCUGGUUUUGUAUUGACGUAAAUUAUGGUUUAAAGCCAAAUAAAGCUAAAUAUAAAUGACAUCAGCAGUAGACCAAUAACCAUCACGCUCAUGUUUGUCAAUUUGUCAAUCUUUUUUUUUAUUUUUUAUUUUUAUUACUUUUGGCUACGUCUGGAAUUAAACACAAGUGUACUGCUUACUGCAUUGUAUAAACUGUGUACUGUGUAAGUGCCUAUAAAAUACAGUAUCAACGUU